GAAAAAUUCUUCCAGGUGAUUUGGACAUACCUUUCUGCCUCCCAGCCACCCCCCCCCGCCAUGGCUCAUAGCCACGUCUCCGGGAUUCCUCAGCUCUAUUUCUGGAUUUGGUCAGAAAACAGCCUGCUCUGCUGGAUUAGCUCAUCUCUCCAUGGAAAUGCCACCCUGGAGUUAUGAGAGCACGGCCUCUUUCUAAGGCUUUCUGGUGCAAUGCAACCCUCCUCGAUGGCCACAGCUGAUUGACUGGAGUGAACCUGUGACCUGAACUGGGCCAGUCAGAUUUUUCAUACUGGAAAUUUGGCGUCGGAGCCCUGAGAAACAAGUCAGGUGGUCUCGGGGGCUGAAGCUACCCCUGUGGGGUGACUAGUGGAACUCCUGGUAGUGAGAAAAAGUGAGAUGAGACUGAUGAUCUUCAGAAGGAAAAGUUUGGACUAAACACCCAGAGGAAAGCUGAAAUGAGAGACCACAUGGAAUGAAGGAGAACGUGAGUAUGAGCAAGCGAAGGUGAGAAAAACACACGGAAGCACAUGAAAGUUCUUUUUGGCUUGUUCCUAUUUUCUCUGUGACAUAAAAGGGAAGGUCUUUGGUGGAGAGUAGGAAUGGGAAGAGGGUGGGCAAUUUGAGAAGAGAGAGGGUGUGAAUUACUCAUCAUGGAGCAGGGGUGUGAAUUGACUGAGGGAAUGUGGUUGGAGGGACAAACAGCACUACAGGCACGCUGGAGGUUUUUGUCAUGAGUUUACAUGGAGACAAGUCGUCCUAGCUGCAUGCUUUUUCUCUGGACACUUUCAGUUGUGUGGGUGUGGCACAGGCAGAAAGUCAGAUUUAACCAGGGCUGGGUUUUCUGCCAGGUGACUGUGACAGAGGAAGAGAG
rnacentral:lncRNA from 10 species